rnacentral:rRNA from 1 species
CGCCUGUUUAUCAAAAACAUCUUUUCUCGUUAGUUUUUGAAGUAUGGCCUGCCCACUGACCUUGAAUGUUGAAGGGCCGCGGUAUUUUGACCGUGCAAAGGUAGCAUAGUCAUUAGUUCUUUAAUUGUGAUCUGGUAUGAAUGGCUUGACGAGGCAUAAGCUGUCUUAAUUUUGAAUUGUUUAUUGAAUUUGGUCUUUGAGUUAAAAUUCUUAGAUGUUUUUAUGGGACGAGAAGACCCUAUAGAGUUUGACAUUUAUUAUGGUCUCUUUCUGUUUGUGAGGGUUCAUUAGGGCUGUUUAAUAUGUUUUGUUGGGGUGAUGGGAGGGAUAUUAUUUAACCCCUCCUUUGUGUUGUUAUAUUUAUUUAUAUUUGCUUGAUCCAUUUAUUUUGAUUGUAAGAUUAAAUUACCUUAGGGAUAACAGCGUAA